rnacentral:rRNA from 1 species
AUUGAACGCUGGCGGCAGGCCUAACACAUGCAAGUCGAGCGGAUGAAGGGAGCUUGCUCCUGGAUUCAGCGGCGGACGGGUGAGUAAUGCCUAGGAAUCUGCCUGGUAGUGGGGGAUAACGUCCGGAAACGGGCGCUAAUACCGCAUACGUCCUGAGGGAGAAAGUGGGGGAUCUUCGGACCUCACGCUAUCAGAUGAGCCUAGGUCGGAUUAGCUAGUUGGUGGGGUAAAGGCCUACCAAGGCGACGAUCCGUAACUGGUCUGAGAGGAUGAUCAGUCAACCGGGAACGGGAAAACGGUCCGGCCUCCAAGGGGGGCCAGCAGGGGGGAUUAUGGGACAUGGGGCGAAAGCCUGACCCACCCAUGCCGGGGUUGUGAAGAAGGUCUUGGGUUUGUAAAGCCUUUUAAGUUGGGAGGAAGGGCAGUAAGUUAAUACCUUGUUUUUUUGGCGUUUCAAAAAAAAAAACCCCCGGCUAACUUC